rnacentral:tRNA from 1 species
CAGGGAGACAACACAAUGAUUUUGAUGCCUGAGUGCUUUUAUUCUUAGGCCGAAAUCCUGUCACCUUAGGUCGAUCGGUACCUCAGCUUUGAAGUCAAGGAUCAGCAGCAAUGUUGUUUGCUUGAUGGAGAUUUUUAGUUCCUAAACUUUGUCUAGGUCACACCCCAAAAGGGAUGAGACUCCUGGGCCAUUAGCUCAGGUGGUUAGAGCGCACCCCUGAUAAGGGUGAGGUCCCUGGUUCAAGUCCAGGAUGGCCCAUUCGGUGUUGGGGGUUUAGCUCAGUUGGUAGAGCGCCUGCUUUGCAAGCAGGAUGUCAGGAGUUCGAGUCUCCUAACCUCCACUGACCGAACUUGAUUCCCAUCUCCAAUUUUUUGGAGUUGAGCUCGAUUGGAGUGUGAUUUAGAUGUGUCCGCUGGAUGACCCCAGCUUCCUGUCAUUCCAAGUUUUAGGUUAAAGCCUUGAAUUUGGUUGAUAAGAUGCUGGGCUCGGAUCAAAUGAUCAAGCAAUUGAUCAUUUGAUUUGAAGUUCUAGCAGAACCUUGACAACUGCAUAGGUGAGUCUGGAAAAAACAAAGCAUCUUACAGAUGCAUUGUUUUGAAUCUGAUCUUCUGAAAGGGAGAUUGGAUCUAGAACAAUGAAAAUUCUUUUGAGCAAGAGCCGAGACUCUUGAGCGUUCUUUGAUUGGUGUCGAGCCAAUCAGAGUUUGAUCUUGUUUUUAGCAAUAAAAACUUGAGAAUCUGCUUUCAACGGCGGUAAGCGUUCAAGAGGUUAAUU